rnacentral:rRNA from 1 species
CACGUAGGCACCAAGCGUUGUCCGGAUUUAUUGGGCGUAAAGAGCUCGUAGGCGGUUCAGUAAGUCGGGUGUGAAAACUUUGGGCUUAACCCAAAGCGUGCAUCCGAUACUGCUGUGACUUGAGUUCGGUAGGGGAGUGGGGAAUUCCUAGUGUAGCGGUGAAAUGCGCAGAUAUUAGGAGGAACACCGAUGGCGAAGGCGGCAUCCUGGACCGGCAUUGACGCUGAGGAGCGAAAGCUAGGGGAGCA